ACAGUAGGUAUAGAUAUAUAGGCAAGAUAGAUGCCGACCGGAAACUGGUUGCGUAAACAGUGUUUGUCCCUCUCCAUUCUAUAUGCAGAAUAACGGGUGAUUAACAUUAUUCUUCGGAUACCUAGAUUCUGCCUUCUUUUUGGGGCUUUUAGUAAGUACGUUUCACACAGACACACACACAUACACACAUGUUUAGGUCAAAAAAUUAUUUGCAUACUUUAUGGUGCUAAUCCAAAACAUGAAGUAGGUUUGAAUAAAUUACACUACCAGAAGUUUAAAGAAAUAUCGAUACGCGGUUGGAAAUUCCCACGUGGGAAACUAUGUGGGAUCCCACAUGGAUAUUUUCAACCAGGUAUAGCUAGCAGCACCUUUAAUUUAUAGCCAAAUUACCGCCGAUGACUGAGGCAAAUAAACAACAUUGACUACGCGCAUUUUACCAAAUGGAACAAUGAAUAAGCUCUAAAAAUAAUUUAAAUGUUGAGAAGUAAGGUUGGAGAAAAACCAUAAAUGGUUUAUUACCAAUCAUCGCUUUAGACGAUUUUUUGCCUAGUUCAAUAAGUAAACAUAUUUUCUGAAAAUACAUCAAAGGCUGUAGUAGUUAUUGUUCGUGCAGAAAAAAAUGGUCCUCACUGCACAGGGUUAUGUAAGUAUUGUGAAGGAAAAAAUUGCUCGAAUAGCAACACGUUAGUUAAUCAUGAUGACGAAAUUAACAUAAUAGAUAUAAUGGAGAAUGACAUAGAAAGAUUUACGGAACAUAGAUUCGGAUAGCGAAGGAUUUAAAAAAGAUUGCGAUAUAGAUAGCGAAAAACUGACGGAUUACGCUGAUCCAGCAUACGCGCUAAUUGUAGACGAUACAGACGAUUCUUA